GCAGCAAUAUUUAUAGAUAGCUUCAAUCUUGAGCAGAGAUGGUUGGUUACCUCUAUUAUGAGCACUAGUUGUUAGAUGGAGACGAGACAAGUGGGACCCUGUAACAUGUUCAUGAAGACAAUUGACUUUGAAAUUUGGCAUGAAAGAAAACGAUAUCAAAUCAAGGCAAUUCUACAAUAUAAGUACCUGUUUGGUUGCACGUUGCAACCUCCAAAAC
rnacentral:lncRNA from 1 species